UACAGAGGUCCCAAGCGUUACUGAGAAUCACUGGGUUAAAGGGUGCGUAGGUGGUCCGUUAAGUCAGUUGUGAAAUCCCGGGCUCAACUCGGGAACUGCUUCUGAUACUGGCGGACUUGAGGCCAGUAGGGUCACUAGAACUGACGGUGGAGCGGUGAAAUGCGUAGAUAUCGUCAGGAAUGCCGGUGGUGAAGACGGGUGACUGGGCUGGUUCUGACACUGAGGCACGAAGGCCAGGGAGCGAA
rnacentral:rRNA from 1 species